GCAUGUUUUUGACAUUUGAAAAAUGGACUGCUCAGUAAUACUCACUUUAUUUUAUGUAAAUUUUUAAUUAACUACGUUAAAGUGUAGAUAAGAUGUUUACAGUAAGAGUGAGACCUAUCAGCUAGUUGUUAAGGUAAUGGCUUAACAAGGCUGUGACGGGUAACGGUAUUACUUUGUAAUAUUCCGGAGAAGGAGCCUGAGAGACGGCUACUAAGUCUAAGGAUUGCAGCAGGGGCGAAACUUGACCUAUGGACUUUAUCUGAGGCAGUUAUGGGAAGUAAUAUUAUAUUGUUUCAUAUUUUAAAAGUAUAUGAGGUGAUUAAUUGGAGGGCAAAUCAAGUGCCAGCAGCCGCGGUAAUACUUGUUCCAAGAGUGUGUAUGAUGAUUGAUGCAGUUAAAAAGUCCGUAGUUUAUUUUUUUAAGAAGCAAUAUGAGGUGUACUGUAUAGUUGGGAGAAAGAUGAAAUGUGACGACCCUGACUGGACGAACAGAAGCGAAAGCUGUACACUUGUAUGUAUUUUUUGAACAAGGACGUAAGCUGGAGGAGCGAAGAUGAUUAGAUACCAUUGUAGUUCCAGCAGUAAACUAUGCCGACGAUGUGAUAUGAAAAUGUUAAUUUGUAUUACAUAAUAGAAAUUUGAGUUUUUUGGCUCUGGGGAUAGUAUGAUCGCAAGAUUGAAAAUUAAAGAAAUUGACGGAAGAAUACCACAAGGAGUGGAUUGUGCGGCUUAAUUUGACUCAACGC
rnacentral:rRNA from 1 species